GAUGAACGCUGGCGGCGUGCCUAACACAUGCAAGUCGAGCGAGUGGAGUUCUUCGGAACAAAGCUAGCGGCGGACGGGUGAGUAACACGUGGGCAACCUGCCUCAUAGAGGGGAAUAGCCUCCCGAAAGGGAGAUUAAUACCGCAUAAGAUUGUAGCUUCGCAUGAAGUAGCAAUUAAAGGAGCAAUCCGCUAUGAGAUGGGCCCGCGGCGCAUUAGCUAGUUGGUGAGGUAACGGCCCACCAAGGCGACGAUGCGUAGCCGACCUGAGAGGGUGAUCGGCCUCAUUGGGACUGAGACACGGCCCAGACUCCUACGGGAGGCAGCAGUGGGGAAUAUUGCACAAUGGGGGAAACCCUGAUGCAGCAACGCCGCGUGAGUGAUGACGGCCUUCGGGUUGUAAAGCUCUGUCUUCAGGGACGAUAAUGACGGUACCUGAGGAGGAAGCCACGGCUAACUACGUGCCAGCAGCCGCCGUAAAAC
rnacentral:rRNA from 1 species